rnacentral:rRNA from 1 species
AUUGAACGCUGGCGGCAUGCUUUACACAUGCAAGUCGAACGGUAACAGGGUGCUUGCACCGCUGACGAGUGGCGAACGGGUGAGUAAUGCGUCGGAACGUGCCGAGUAGUGGGGGAUAACGCAGCGAAAGUUGUGCUAAUACCGCAUACGUACUGAGGUAGAAAGUGGGGGACCUUCGGGCCUCACGCUAUUCGAGCGGCCGACGUCUGAUUAGCUAGUAGGUGAGGUAAAGGCUCACCUAGGCGACGAUCAGUAGCGGGUCUGAGAGGAUGAUCCGCCACACUAGGACUGAGACACGGCCCAGACUCCUACGGGAGGCAAGAGUGGGGAAUUUUGGACAAUGGGCGAAAGACUGAUCCAGCCAUGCCGCGUGUCUGAAGAAGGCCUUCGGGUUGUAAAGGACUUUUGACAGGGAGGAAAUCCCUAGUGCUAAUAACACUGGGGGAUGACAGUACCUGAAGAAUAAGCACCGGCUAACUACGUGCCAGCCGCCGCCGUAA